UACACACUGAUGAACUGGUCUCAGGUGUUCUAACUAGGACACCUGGUCCUGCUGGUCAUACUAUUUUUGAUAGUGUGCCAUUGAUAGGAUGCCACUGACCCUGUUGGCCACUGGGCACACUGCUUGCUCACAUUCAGCCACUGUUGACCAGCACCCCCAGGUCCCUUUCUGCUGGGCUGCUUUCCAGCUGCUCUUCUCCAAGACUACCGCUGCCUGAGGGUGUUGUGACCCAAGUGCAGGACUUGACACUUAACCUUAUUGAACCUCAUACAGUUGGCCUUGGCCCAUGAAUCUAGCUUUUCCAAAUACCUCUGCGGCACCCUCCUACCUUCCAGCCCAUCAGUACUUCCGCUCAACUUAGUGUUGUCUGUGAACUUGCUGAGGGUGCACUUGAUCCCCUCAUCCAGAUCAUCAGUGAAGGUAUUAAACAGGACUGGCCCCAAUACUGAGCCCUGGGGAACCCUGAUAGUGACUGGUCACCAACUGGAUGUAGCACCAUUUACCACCACUCUCUGAGCCUGACCAUUUAGACGGUUUUUUACCCAGCAAACAAUGCACCUGUCCAAGCUUCUCCAGGAAAAUGCUGUGGGAGACAGUAUCAAAGGCUUUGCUGAAGACCAGGUAGACCAUAUCCACAGCCUUUGCCUCAUCCGCUAUGUGGGUCACCUGGUCUUAAAAGGAGAUGAGGCUGGUCAAGCAGGACCUGCCUUUCAUAAACUUCUACUGGCUGGGCCUGAUCCCCUGGUUGUCUUGUACAUGUCACAUGAUGGCACUCAGGACAAUCUGGUCCAUAACCUUCCCCGGCACCAAGGUCAGGUUGACAGGCUUGUAGUUCCCCAGACCCUUCUUCCAGUCCUUCUUGUAGAUGUACAUCACAUUGGCCAACCUCCAGUCAUCUAGUACCUCCCUGGUUAACUGGGACUGAUGAUAAAUGAUGGAUUGGCUUGGAGAGCUCCUCCACCAGCUCCUUUAGCACCGUCAGGUAAAUCCCAUUGGGCCUCAUAGACUUGAGUGUGUCCGAGUGGAACAGCACAUCAGUAACUACUUCCUCCUGGAUACCAUGGCACCUACUCUGCUCCCAGUCCCUGUUUACCAGCUUGGGGGGACCAGUUCAGCUGAGGAUAACUGGUCUUUCUGUUGAAGACGAAGGGAAAGGCAGCAUUAAGUACCUCAGCCCUUUCUUCAUCCUUGGUUACAAUGGUCCCCUCCGCAUCCAAUAAAGGAUGGAAAUUUUCCUUGGCCCUCUUUUUGUUGUUAAUGUAUUUAUAAAAACACUUUCAGUUAUCUUUCACAGCAGUGGCUGUUCUAGCCACUCAGAUUGAGUUCUAGCUGAGCUUUCGCCUCUCUAAUUUUUACUCUAUGUGACCUAACAACAUUCUUGUAUUCUUCCUGAGUUGCCUAUCCCUUCUUCCAAAGGUUAUAAACUCUUUUUUGUCCCUGUAUUCCAGCAAAGCUCCCUGUUCAUCCGGGCUGGUGGUCUUCCCUGCCAAGGGAAGCACAUAGGGAUAGUCUGCCCCUGCACCCUUUAGAUUUCCUUUUUAAAGUAUGUCCAGCCUUCCUGGACCCUUUUGUUUUUAAGGGCUAUUUCCCAAAGGACUCUCUGAACCAGUGUCCUGGACAAGCUGAAGUCCCCCCUCCAGAAGUCCAAGGCAGAAGUUUUGUUGACCCCCUUCCGUACUUCACUGAGGAUUGAAAAACCUUAUCAUUUCGUUGUCGCUACCCAGUACAGCCUGCAACCACCACAUCUACCACCAGCCCUUCUCUGUUCAGAAACAGCAGGUCUGUCGGGGCACUGCCAACAUUUAAGAGGAUGUCCCAGCAUCACUACCCACCACCCCCCCUCCACUCAGUAGUGGAAAUCCUAUUGACAUCAAUCAAUGCACAAAUACCAUUUGUUUCUGAAGUCACACAGGAGUAAGAAAAGCAAUUCUCUUAGGACAAUGUGAACCCCUAAUUUGGCAAUAAAUAAAACCCACCCAGAUUUGGGUUACACAAUAUUAGUUCUGUAUAGAAGGUUUCCCCAUCGAGGAACUCUUGCACUGAACACAACUGAAACCCAUUGCAGGAUCAUAUAUCACAAGGUUCAGAGGAAAUUUUGUGAACCUUUCCCACACAUUUCCAAUCUAUACAUAUUAAAAUUCCAGUCAAUUAGGAAUUGCACUGCUUAAUUACCCAGCACAGGUUUACCAUUGUUCUAGUGUACAGCUAUUCCACGCUAUCAACAACAGCAAGCUUACUGUGCUGUAAACUAGCUGGGAAAGAGAGAUUGACCAUGUUAUGUCCUGCUCUACAGAGAUUGCAAAGCGUUCAAGGCUGCCAAAGCACUUACCUGAGCUGCCUCUCUUCUGCUCUUUAAGGUGCAUGCUAUAAAGGAAAUGCUAAAAUCCCCGUAGCUAACCAAGAACUGAAAGGUUAGCUUUGUUUCCACUGCAAGAACUCAAGACAGACUUUAAUCCCAGCUUCAAUAUGUAAAAUUCACAGACAAAAUGAGACAUUCCGUCUCCUUAUUUAUGCUUACCUGAAAGCUGAUCUAGUGAUCUUUCCAGGUUUUGUCAGAGUCCAAUAGCCUGUGUUUCACACUUCACCUCAGUUAUUAAGGGCUUCCAGUUACAAGAUAAAAAGGAUAAUAGUACAGCAUUAUAAAUUUGGCAUUAAUUAUUUGAGGAAAAUAUCUAAGAGCAUCACUUUUAAGCUAAGAACAUUUGUCUCCCUCUAGGAACACUUCACAUUGCUGUUUAGCACCCUGUGUGAGAGAUGUAAUAAAACAUUGGAGCUUGUGUUACUGUGCAGUUCUGCAGUGUGUGCAUGAUUGGUUUUGUUGCUUCAGGCUCCUCUGAAUAGGGAGCGAUUCAUCUCUAGGAGGCUAAUUUCUUGCAGUUGAGUGCAGGAUUUUAAUAAAUAAACCCAAAAGUGAAGUGCCCUUUUGAACAGCCCUCAUAUCAGCAGGUAAUAUCAGUAAUUUAGGAAACUCAAACCAUUCACCAUUCCAUCCAAUGUAUUGUGAUCUGUACUGGAUUAUUUAUUUAUUUUUAAUACAUUAUAAGUUAUCUCUUUUGUUGUAAUUAAGAUCUUUCAACACCACUGAGAAAUUUUAACCCCAGAAUGCUGAAGAUGAAUUAUUUGAAGGACAAGUAGUUAAAAUACUGAAUAAAAAUACAUUUUUGAUUGACCAGUUUACAAGUCAUUUGCACCGGUGAGAACAAAGAACGUGUUUUCUACAGUAACAGAUGCUGAGCCAUCCUCUCCUGAAUGAAGACCUGGAGAAAGAGCUUUGAAGAGGUCACUGCCUGUCACAGGCUUCUUGUCCUGCUUGGCUCUGCUCCUGGGCUAAUCCUACCACUUGGCAUCACUGUUUGCUCACUGCCCUUCAUCCAGGUGAGUCCAAAAGCGGGAGCCAGACUUCAAAUGGGAAAUCCUCUCAAGCAGCAUAGCAAAACUUUUGCUGUGAUUUGAACCAUUCUGUGUGGCUGCUUAAGAAUUUAUAGUUAUUCUGUUCCCUUUUUUCCCUCAGGAAAAUCAGUAAAAAAUUUGAAAAAACCUCAUUCCCCAAGGAAGACAUAACUUCUGAAAGCAUUUUUUUAAAGGAAAAUGAACUACUAUGGCAGUAUCUCAUCUUAAUACUUUGAUGUCUCAAAAAAAGAAAUAAAUACAAAACCCAGAAACAUAUGCUGUUUCUAUCUGUGCUUGUUUCACUGAAAUAGUGUUUUCAAACUGAAAGUGAUGAAGGAGUGUGGGAAAUAUUGAAAAGUAAUGAAUCAAUUUCAAUCAAUUUUAAUUCUAGUAUAAGAGGAAGUAAUGCCACUUGUUGAAAACAAAGCAAUCAUUUCUGACAGCUAAAUUUGCAAGAGACCUAUUGCUGUCUGGAGGGAGGUAAAGCUGGAUGCUUCCCUGCUUCUGCCUCCCCAUUACUUGACUUUCAGUGCUGUUUGAUAUGUUCUAGUGAAGUUUCUCUGUAUCCUGUGACUCUUAUUUUUCUUCCCUUAAAUCAGCACUCCCACACAAACAGAAUUAUUUUUUUCCCAGUUUUAACUUGGAACUUGGACUUUAGUAUGGAAAAAUGUAUGUAUCUGUUUUAUAAAAAUACUUUUCUUAAUGAAAGACAUCUUGAUUUAAAGUAGUUGUUAGGGAAAUUUGGAAUGAUAGUAUUGCUAGAAUAAAAUUAAAAAUAAAGAUAAGAGUGGAAAGAUCA